GUCCUUAGUCAUUUAUCAUAUUCAUAUUUUCUUUGUCAUUUUCAGGAAUCUGUUCCCAAAAGAGACCCUUGGCCCGGGAAGUCUUCGCUUUGCUAUCUAUCCGUCUGUCUGUCUCCAGGGUGUAUAUUGUUACGAACUUACGACAUAUAAUGCCAUCUAGCGUCAAACCGAAUGGAACUUAUCGGGGGAUAUUAUACUCUCAAACAACAUAAAACCCCUACUCGAUACUAGAUGGCGUUAGGCUUUCAGAAAUAUUACGGGAAUCGGGUACAUUCUAGAAAGGAAUGGAAGGAAAUUCUCGUACGUUCUGGAACUCGUCUCGGCCCAUAUAAAUAGCCACUGGUAGAUGAG